rfam:Capsicum annuum cultivar Zunla-1 chromosome 4, whole genome shotgun sequence
UUUUAGUGAUGUGGCCAAUCUGUGAUAAGAUAUUUGAACCUCUCCCAAGCAAGAUAUAAGUUCUCAUCUGGAUUUUGUUCAAACUAAAAAUCUCAUUACGUAACCU